CAUUUUCAUAAUACAAAGUCAGUCCUAAAAGAAGCAUCUGGAGUAGUUUUUGACAUGUUUUCAGGGGCCACUAGUAUUUGUAUUUUUUGCUGUUACUUCCCACCUACUGAGCGUAAGCUAGGUCAUGCACUUGAAUUUCCUGCAUUCUAAAUCAUCUCCUUAGCUACUAAAUAGUGAUAACUGUUAGUCUUGUUCAUUACUGUCUUAGCAGUAUGUUAAAAAUUGAAGUUUUGGUAAUUUCUUUAGAGAUAACUGCAAGGUGAUUAUAUGGAAUUGCUGAAGUAUGUUAGGGAAGCAGUUUGAUGCUUUGUGAAUUCUAAUUUACAGAUCUCACAGCUCUGUAUCUCAAAUUCUAAGUGUACUGGAAAUACGUUUUGCCUCUGCAUUGGAAACUGUAUUUUAAAGACAUCUCCACCCAAAUGCUGAAGACCUGUUAAAGUGUGUUUUACUUCCUGCUGCUGUCAGUGUGACCUUUCCCUCCUUCCUUUUCCUUCCUUUUCCUUUUGGCUAGCUUGUAUUGUUCUACUGAAAGCUUCCUGCAACUCUAGGAAAAAGAAAUAAUAGUUAUGGCAUGUGCUUUAUAGAGGCCAUUUAGUCUAUCUAUGCGCAUGAAUUCUGAUUAUGAGAUGGCUCUGCCAGCAGUAGACUGGAACUGCAUCCAUUCUCUGCAUAUUCUUGUAGCUCUUUUAUCGGAAGGCAUAUGGAAUGGAGACCACCUGUAGUUUUAUAGCUCACCAUAAUUUUCAGCAUACCAGAGUGGAGGUCAUGCUAAGCCUUCUGCUAUACAGCGGAGCUGUGUUGUUUAUCAGUAAAUAAUAGAUGGCUAAUGAAUUCACUGCAUGUUUCUGCAAAGCUGUUCACUAUGUUUUCUGUAAAAUCUUUGUUUCUGUUAGCACCAUGGUGCGGUCUUCCUAAUGACCAUGCCUGUGCUAUCUGGCUUCCAGUAAUGCUUACCAUGUGCCCGUACUGCUCAUAGAUUAAUCAAGGCAGUGUCCUUCCAUUUCAGCGAGAGCAAAAAGUUUAUUAAGAUUAUUAAUGUGAGUGGAAAGUGGAUCUGGAGUUUUUCAUAGGGAAAUUCUUGAAAGCUGCUGCUGUUGCAUACCUCAAAUGACAGCAUUCACGUACAGUUCAAGAUGUUUGGCUUUACAAACAGUUGUACUCUGUUUUCUGGCCCGUUCCUGCUUCUACAAAACUGGACUGUGAGUGACAGCGAUUGCAAGGCUUGACCCUACCCCAGGGUUUACCUAUUUGCACUGCAGUUGUUUUAUAAAGGAAGAAUUUCUCCUUCCUAGUGUUGGAUUCGAGUUCAUUCAUCCUCCUCCCGAUAGCUGCUGAAAUGGCUCUACAGCAUUCCCCAUAUCUUUGUGCAGAAAGGAGAGAAGGAGAAGCUAGUUAACAUUCAGGAUUUUACAUGUGUCUGCCUUUGCAUAAAGUGACAUAGGAGUAUCAUUGGUCAAGGCAAUGGCUUUCAGUGUUUCUGCUUUGAAAGAAAAUGAUGGAAGUGGCAGCUCGGUCUACAGAUCAUCGCUCUCUACCAAACCAGACUGCAUUGUCA